AUUGAACGCUGGCGGCAGGCCUAACACAUGCAAGUCGAACGAGUGGCGGACGGGUGAGUAAUGUCUGGGAAACUGCCCGAUGGAGGGGGGUAACUACUGGAAACGGUAGCUAAUACCGCAUACCAUCGGAUGUGCCCAGAUGGGAUUAGCUAGUAGGUGGGGUACAGGCUCACCUAGGCGACGAUCCCUAGCUGGUCUGAGAGGAUGACCAGCCACACUGGAACUGAGGCACGGUCCAGACUCCUACGGGAGGCAGCAGUGGGGAAUAUUGCACAAUGGGCGCAAGCCUGAUGCAGCCAUGCCGCGUGUAUGAAGGAGGCCUUCGGGUUGGAAAGUACUUUCAGCGAGGAGGCGUUACUCGCAGAAGAAGCCCCGGCUAACUCCGGUCCAGCAGCCGCGGUAAUUC
rnacentral:rRNA from 1 species